AUUGAACGCUGGCGGCAUGCCUUACACAUGCAAGUCGAACGGUAACAGGUCUUCGGAUGCUGACGAGUGGCGAACGGGUGAGUAAUACAUCGGAACGUGCCUAGUAGUGGGGGAUAACUACUCGAAAGAGUGGCUAAUACCGCAUGAGAUCUACGGAUGAAAGCAGGGGAUCGCACGACCUGGUGCUACUAGAGCGGCCGAUGGCAGAUUAGGUAGUUGGUGGGAUAAAAGCUUACCAAGCCGACGAUCUGUAGCUGGUCUGAGAGGACGAUCAGCCACACUGGGACUGAGACACGGCCCAGACUCCUACGGGAGGCAGCAGUGGGGAAUUUUGGACAAUGGGCGAAAGCCUGAUCCAGCAAUGCCGCGUGCAGGAUGAAGGCCUUCGGGUUGUAAACUGCUUUUGUACGGAACGAAAAGCCCCGGGUUAAUACCCUGGGGUCAUGACGGUACCGUAAGAAUAAGCACCGGCUAACUACGUGCCAGCAGCCGCCGUAA
rnacentral:rRNA from 1 species